GAUCCUAAGACUUCCCCAUCGCCCCGGAGCCUAGCCCGCAGCCGCCCCCCUGGGGGCCACUUGGAGCCUGGCGCCGGGGGCCAGGGGAGAGGGGCCUCGGCCCCGCUCGGGCUCUUCUGGACCAGCCACCUUGGAGGGGAUCCAGAGAGCUAACAUUUACUGAGCCUCUAUUAUGAGAUGAGCAAUUUGCCUGGUGCUUUAAACGCUUCAACUUACUGAAUUCUCACAAUGACCCCAUAAGUAUUUAGUGAAGUCCUUUGUGAAAAUGCCAGCUGGUUUCAGCUGUGCUAGGAGGAAUGACAAAGGGGAACUCUGUGCAUGCUUGACCCUUUGCUUUAACGGAGGGGCCUCUCUUAGUGGCGGCGGCGAAGUUAAGGGACCACCACCAAAGGAAAGCCGGCCUUCCUGAGGAGCAUUCCUUCCAGGCUCUUCCACACCCCAGCCUUGACAGCCAAGGCUUUAUUGAAACCAGGGGGCUGGAGAGCCGGCCAGUCACAGCUGCAUUUGGUUGGAUCCCAGUGGUGUCCGGAGUCUCGUGAAAUCCAGAGGCCUGGCUCCUGCUGGGCUCUGGCUACCCAACAGGGGGACAAUCCCACCCCAGCUGGGCCUGCUUGGCAAGCUGCUGUCGAGAGAUGACACCUGCGAGCCAGAGCCUGUAGCCGCCUCUCCUUCCUGCCCUCACAACUCAGGACGCUCUCCACACCUCGGUCCCCGGCCGCCUGCUGCCCACCAGGAGUGGACAUUCAGCUGGUCCCUUCCCACUGCCCGGGACCCCCCACCCCCUUACUUCCUGUGACUGCGGUGACUGCACACACCCCCUCCUGACCCCUCCUCACUGCGUCUCUCAGCUGCUGUGGUGAGAGGGGCCGGGGGAGAGCUCCCUCCUCAGGAACAAUCACCCCAUUCUCUGCUGUGUAAGCGAUACACGAGGAGAGGAAGCCAUUUGUAACUAAUCCGCGGUGAUGUGGAACGGGGCCCUCUGAGAACCCGGGAGCCUGCCGAUCGUCGCUCGGGGCUGUCUGCCUCUGUGCGACAGCUGGGUGGCUCUGCCCCUCAUCUCCGGACGGCGGCCCCCACCCCCCACCCCACGCUCUGCUGGGGAAGCAGACUCUCCCCAUCACCUUCAAGGGAGUCCUAUUGUUCCCACGUUUCAGAUAAGGGAGGGAAGGAACCUUCAGGUCCCACAGCCAGCAAGUAGAAGACGGGGAGGGAUGGACGGGACCGGCAGAGGCUGCACCAGGAGCCAGCGACGGGCAGGGACGAACAGCCUGCCCUUCACUAGCCGUGUGACCCUGGGCAAGUCUGUUCACCUUUCUAAGCCUAUCUCAGAGGCUGGUUGUGUGGUGUACAUGAGACAGUAGGAGUGGAUCACAGAGCACAGUCCCUGGCACGUUGUAAGUACCUGUUAGCUUCACCUUCUAGGACUGUUUCCCAGUAGGGGGCGGGAGACUGGGACCCCCACUGCGGCUCUCCCGGCAGACCCCACUGUGCAUCUCCAGGCAGGGAAGCUCCCUCCCUCCCUUCCCCCUUGGGAAGGCACCCAAGUCCAGCUGGAAGAUCUGUGGUGGGCCCUAGGGCCAGGGCCUGAGGGCUCUUGGGGAAGAGGCUUUAGUGCCCCAGCCACAUCUCCAGGAGGCAGUGUGACAAAAGUCUUUGGCAGCCCCCCUAUGCCAACCACCACCAAAAGGGAAAAAGAGAGAACACCUGCCUUCUGGGAGGGACUGGAGGACUUUCCUGAGCAAUUGCAGGAGGGGGUUGAGGAAGCAGCAGCCAAAAGACCCCUGCCCACCCUUCGCCCCCAGGACACUAUGCCCAGAGACUGCAGAGUGUGGGGAGGCAACUGGUCUGGCCCCAAAGGCUGUCACUCGGUGCCCUGGAGCUGGCAGUGGGGCGAAGAGCCUGGAGUAUCUGCUUGGCGGGAGACACAGCGCUCACCUUGAUCCCGAGAGAAACUGGGAGGUGGCAAUGGACUUUGGUUCUUGUCAGGAAUGACUUCAUCUCUGCUAUGGAUUGGGAGGUCAGUGGAGACAGCAUAGACUAAACAUCUCAUCACUGGAAUGGUGUGGGUCUGAGUGAGGAUCUCUGCAAGGGCCUGUAUCUGUUCCAUUUUAAUGUCAUCCCUCGGAGUGUCAGCCCCUGAACAACUCGUCAUCCGUGUUUCGGAGAAGGGGGCUGGCGGCAGGCUCUGAGUUGGCCCCUGAUGCAAAGAGUGCAGUUGGAGGGGUGGGAGAGGAGAAGGGGAAGGAACCUGUCUUCUGUGGGUCCUUCAUUCAUUCUGGCCCACUCAGUGCCAGGCCCUGGGUUUGUUGCUGAGGACACCAAGAUGACAACGAUGGCCCUUGUGCCAGUUUGAAUGUAUUAUAUCCCCCAAACGCCAUUAUCUUUGAUGUAAUCUUGUGUGGGCAGACCUAUCAGUGUUAAUUAGAUUGCAAUUCUUUGAGUGUUUCCAUGGAGA